UACGAAGGGGGCUAGCGUUGCUCGGAAUCACUGGGCGUAAAGGGCGCGUAGGCGGCGUUUUUAAGUCGGGGGUGGAAAGCCUGUGGCUCAACCACAGAAUGGCCUUCGAUACUGGGACGCUUGAGUAUGGUAGAGGUUGGUGGAACUGCGAGUGUAGAGGUGAAAUUCGUAGAUAUUCGCAAGAACACCAGUGGCGAAGGCGGCUCACUGGCCCGAUACUGACGCUGAGGCACGAAAGCGUGGGGAGCAAACAGGG
rnacentral:rRNA from 1 species